rnacentral:tRNA from 1 species
CGGGGCGUAGCGCAGCCAGGUAGCGCACUUGAAUGGGGUUCAAGUGGCCCGCGGUUCAAAUCCGCGCGCCCCGA